rnacentral:rRNA from 1 species
AUUGAACGCUGGCGGCAGGCCUAACACAUGCAAGUCGAGCGAGCGGCGGACGGGUGAGUAAUGUCUGGGAAACUGCCUGAUGGAUGGGGAUAACUACUGGAAACGGUAGCUAAUCCCGCAUACCAUCAGAUGUGCCCAGAUGGGAUUAGCUAGUAGGUGGGGUAACGGCGCACCUAGGCGACGAUCCCUAGCUGGUCUGAGAGGAUGACCAGCCACACUGGAACUGAGACACUGGCCAGAUGCCUACGGGAGGCAGCAGUGGGGAAUAUUGCACAAUGGGCGGAAGCCUGAACCAGCCAUGCCGCGGGUAUGAAGAAGGCUUUCGGGUUGUAAAGUACUUGCAGCGGGGAGGCGUGACCCGAAGAAGAAGCACCGGCUAACUCCGUGCCAGCCGCCGCGGUAAUAUC